rnacentral:rRNA from 1 species
GACGUAGGGCGCGAGCGUUGUCCGGAUUUAUUGGGCGUAAAGAGCUCGUAGGCGGCUUGUCGCGUCGGCUGUGAAAACCCGCGGCUCAACUGUGGGCGGGCAGCUGAUACGGGCAGGCUGGAGUUCGGUAGGGGAGACUGGAAUUCCUGGUGUAGCGGUGAAAUGCGCAGAUAUCAGGAGGAACACCAGCGGCGAAGGCGGUGCUCUGGGCCGGAACUGACGCUGAGGAGCGAAAGCGUGGGGAGCGAACAGG